rnacentral:rRNA from 1 species
UAAUACGUAGGGUGCAAGCGUUGCCCGGAUUUAUUGGGCGUAAAGGGCGCGCAGGCGGCUCGGCACGUCCGUUGUGAAAUCGCCCGGCUCAACUGGGCGGGGUCAGCGGAUACGGCCGAGCUGGAGCAAGCUAGGGGGCAAUGGAAUUCCCGGUGUAGUGGUGGAAUGCGUAGAUAUCGGGAGGAACACCAGUGGCGAAGGCGGUUGCCUGGAGCUUUGCUGACGCUGAGGCGCGAAAGCGUGGGGAGCGAUCCGGAUUAGAUACCCGGGUAGUCCACGCCGUAAACGAUGCGGACUAGGUGUCGGGGGUAUCGACCCCCUCGGCGCCGCAGCUAACGCACUAAGUCCGCCGCCUGGGGACUACGGCCGCAAGGCUA